UACGUAGGGUGCGAGCGUUGUCCGGAUUUAUUGGACGUAAAGAGCGUGUAGGCGGCCAUGUAGGUCCGGUGUGAAAACUCGAGGCUUAACCUCGAGAUGUCAUCGGAAACCAUUUGGCUAGAGUCCGGAAGAGGAGAGUGGAAUUCCUGGUGUAGCGGUGAAAUGCGCAGAUAUCAGGAAGAACACCAAUGGCGAAAACAGCUCUCUGGGACGGUACUGACGCUGAGACGCGAAAGCGUGGGGAGCGAACAGG
rnacentral:rRNA from 1 species